AUGAGCAAGAUUAAAUAGAUCUAAUUAAAGGCAUAAAUAAGAAUAAGUCCUUUUGCCAUUCAAGCAAGUGAUUCAUGAAGAGAUUCAGCACAAUAUUCAUGAGACUUUCUAUUUGAACAAUUUUUACUAAUUAUGCUGCAUUUACCUCCUUUUGUUCCAGUCUUUUAUCCAGUUCUUGUAGCUCCCUGUCCAGUUUUUCUUGAAGAGAAGAAUGUUCAAGCUCCUUUUCCUCAUCUUCAACCUCUUCUGCAAAUCAGUAAAAGAUAAAUGUGAAUGAGUUUAUAUACAGUCACCUAUGAUAAUUAAAAAAGAGAUAUUACUUGAUCACCAUUAUUGAAAAUGCAAACAAAAGAAUGUUCAGCAAUAAUAUCAAAAGCUUCCUUAGUACUUAUGUCACCUACUAAAAAUGAAAUUGAUUGAUUUUGAAGCACAUGCAACCACUGAUAUUAUUACAUGGAAUUGAAUCCGCAAUUCCCAUCGAAAAGCAAUAAUAUCAGCCAUUUACAUGAAUAAAUAAAACAGAAAAUUAUUCAACAAUAAAAUCAACUAAGAAGCUACAUUGUAUAUACCAAAACAGAAUUAAACUUCAAGAAAGUUACCUGAAAUGUCCAUAGUUUUUGAAAAGUUCCUGCACAACUCUGUUUUGAUAAAUAAUAAUAAUAAUAAUUUUAACUCAAACAUGUAAAAAAAAUUUACAAAUUAUUUCCUUUAAGCAGAACUUUCAAUAGUAAAUGAGGCUAAAUUAUAAGCUGCAUUCAAUCCAAUUGCGCAUACAAAAAAAACUGGCUUUUUCAUCUAGAAAGGAAUUGACACAUUGAUCUGUACAAAAGAUCUCACCCUAGGAUGCUACUUAUCAUGCUAAAUUAAAAAUAAACACCAAUAUUGAGGUGAAGUCCCAUUUGGCAUUUGCAAUACACCUUUAAUUUUCUCUGAAGCAAGGGAUGGGCCCAACAUUAGCAGACUUGUUGCGUAAUCAUGCUCCGAGUUAAAACCUCCUUAUUACAAAUACAUUGACUGCCUAUAAGCACCUUAACUGGAUAAAUUGGUUUACGCAGUUGUAGGAUGUUGUUAUUCAAUUGAACCGUCUUAAUGAUGCACCAGACCAAGUAAUAUGUAGAUUUUCUAAGAAAGUUUAUAUCACUAUCCUAAGAAUACGAGUGUAAGAUAUCAUCUCAAAUCAAUAAACAAUAAUAUAGUAUUUAUUGAGAAAUAUGCAUAAUAUAUGACUUAAAAAAUAGAUACUAUAUUGGGGAUGUCCGCAAAUAUUAUAGACAAAUACAAAUUAUUGAGGAUCCACCUGCUGAGAGUAAUCUGUCUUGGUAUAUACAAUGCACUUAUUCUUGAAUGUGCCUGAAAUAUUUGAUGGAGACCAAAACAAAUGAAUCAGUUUUGUUAAUGCAAAAUAAACAUCCAAAAGAAAAUUAUAACUACUGAAACACACCAACAAAAAGUGUCUUCCAUGGGUUGUCAAAAUCAUUUUAAUUAAAAUUAUAAACAUCUGUGGGGAAGGCAAAGGCAUGUAAUGUUGGAAAUGUCCAUAUUAGCAUGUUGUAGGACAUUCUGAUUUUGACAUCUUAUAAUAAACACAUAAAUUGGAAAAACUUGAGAAUUUGUAUAAUACAUUAUACUUGUAAUGAAAAAGGCAUUUGCUUUGGCUUCGCAUCUCAUGCCAAUAUUCACUGUAUCCACACAUGUUGUUUCUUAAAUUAUUAUUAUUAUUAUUUUUUGUUUCAAAUGAUUAACCAUGAUCAACAAUUAAAGCUCACAAUAAUUUUUAAAUAUAUAUAUAUAUAUUCUCAAUCAACAGAAUUAAAAUUAAAUUUUAUUUAAAUCAGUUCAUUUUUUUUAUAUAAGAACAAAUUCAAUUAUUUCUUUGCCUAAAACAACUUAGUUUUUAUAAAGUGCUAAUGGGGCAGCAAGGGAGUUAUUUGGUUGCCUUUAAGCUAAUCCUCGACAUAACUUGUUUUUGGAUGGUUUAAUUCUUGACUGAAAAACAGCUAUAUAUGUGUCUAGGAUAACAUGCUAAAAAGCUGCUUAAAUAACACUAUAGUAAAUUUCGAAAAAAAAAAAGAGAGAAAUUAAAUGCACCUUAAAUGCUAACACAAGGGAGCAAGGUAAUCAAAUGCAGCAGAUGACAAACAGGGAACAAGGUAAUCAAAAUUCCUAAUUUCACACAAUUCUUGGAAUCACACUCUUUCAACACAUUUAUAUAAAAAAAAAAUCAAAUAUAACUUCUAAAUUUAAGAAAUAGAAAAAAAAAUCAAAGGAAUCAAAGUGAUAAAGAGCAAGGAUUCACUUACAGAGUUAAGGAGAGAGAAGCAAUAGAAAUCCAAGAGAGCGAGCGAGAGAGACCAAGCGAGAGCGAGAGAGACCAAGCGAGAGCGAGAGAGACCGAGCGAGAGAGACCGAGCGAGAGAGACCGAGCGAGAGAGACCGAGCGAGAGAGACCGAGCGAGAGAGAGAGAGCAGGGAGGAGAGGAGAUGGGGGAGUGGGUGAGGGAUGCAACGUGAUUUUAGAAUUAGGGUUUCAAUAUAAAA
rnacentral:lncRNA from 1 species